CUAUAAUGCAGUCGAACGCGUUGGCCCAAUUGAUUGAUGGUGCUUGCACCUGAUUGAUUUUGGUCGCCAACGAGUGGCGGACGGGUGAGUAACACGUAGGUAACCUGCCCAGAAGCGGGGGACAACAUUUGGAAACAGAUGCUAAUACCGCAUAACAACGUUGUUCGCAUGAACAACGCUUAAAAGAUGGCUUCUCGCUAUCACUUCUGGAUGGACCUGCGGUGCAUUAGCUUGUUGGUGGGGUAACGGCCUACCAAGGCGAUGAUGCAUAGCCGAGUUGAGAGACUGAUCGGCCACAAUGGGACUGAGACACGGCCCAUACUCCUACGGGAGGCAGCAGUAGGGAAUCUUCCACAAUGGGCGCAAGCCUGAUGGAGCAACACCGCGUGAGUGAAGAAGGGUUUCGGCUCGUAAAGCUCUGUUGUUAAAGAAGAACACGUAUGAGAGUAACUGUUCAUACGUUGACGGUAUUUAACCAGAAAGUCACGGCUAACUACGUGCCAGCAGCCGCGGUAAUACGUAGGUGGCAAGCGUUAUCCGGAUUUAUUGGGCGUAAAGAGAGUGCAGGCGGUUUUCUAAGUCUGAUGUGAAAGCCUUCGGCUUAACCGGAGAAGUGCAUCGGAAACUGGAUAACUUGAGUGCAGAAGAGGGUAGUGGAACUCCAUGUGUAGCGGUGGAAUGCGUAGAUAUAUGGAAGAACACCAGUGGCGAAGGCGGCUACCUGGUCUGCAACUGACGCUGAGACUCGAAAGCAUGGGUAGCGAACAGGAUUAGAUACCCUGGUAGUCCAUGCCGUAAACGAUGAGUGCUAGGUGUUGGAGGGUUUCCGCCCUUCAGUGCCGGAGCUAACGCAUUAAGCACUCCGCCUGGGGAGUACGACCGCAAGGUUGAAACUCAAAGGAAUUGACGGGGGCCCGCACAAGCGGUGGAGCAUGUGGUUUAAUUCGAAGCUACGCGAAGAACCUUACCAGGUCUUGA
rnacentral:rRNA from 2 species